AUGCUCGCUUUGGCAGCACACACACUAAAAUUGGAACGAUAUGGAGAAGAUUAGCAUGGCCCCUGUGCAGGAGUGAUACACAAAUUCAUGAAGCAAUCCAUAUUUUU